rnacentral:lncRNA from 1 species
GUUCUUUAGUAGAAGGAUAACAUGACAUAGCAGGAAUAAUACUGCCUUUUCUUUCUGGCAUGGAUCAAGAGAAAAGAAAAUACAAGAAAACAGACAGAAGCAAGGCAAGGUACUUCUAUGGAAGGGUGAGCCCUCACAGAUGGAGCAAUGGGGCGCGCACACCUGAACAAGGGAGGGGAAGGAGUUCUUAUCCCUGAUGCAUGUGACCCCUGCUGCUGUGUCCUUCCCCUAUUGGCUAAGGUUAGACCACACAGCCUAAACUAAUUCCGAUUGGCUAAUUCAAAGAGAGCGACGGGGGCUUCUGACAGCUUUGGAGAUUGUGACAUUGGAAUAAAGGAAAAACGUACAGGACUCAUGAAGCGCUGAAAUGUUCACAAAUAUCAAGCAAAAGUCAAUGAAAUUUAUUUUGAGCUAUUUACAUCAUUUAAUAAUUGAGCAAGGUAUACUCCUAUGAACAAAAUUUGGAGCAUGUUUGUCUCUCUCUGCCUGGCGUCUUCAGAAUUUGGAAACUAGUUAUGGUUUAUAAUCAGCUAUAGAAUUUUAACACGUGCUCUCAAAUGCAAGUUUCUGAUAACUUUGGAGAUUGUGACAUUGGAAUAAAGGAAGAGCUGGAAUGUUCAUGAAUAUCAAGCAAAAGUCAUGGAAAUUUAUUUUGAGCUAUUUACAGCAUUUAAUAAUUGAGCAAGGUAUACUCCUAUGAACAAAAUUUGGAGCAUGUUUGUCUCUCUCUGUCUGCCUGGCAUCUACAGAAUUUGGAAACUAGUUUCGUUCCCAGAUUUCCUAAACUUUCCAGAGAAAAUGGUCUUCUCCCUGGCUCAGCAAGAAGAUGAACUUUAAACACUGAGAAACUGGUCAUCUCCCUGGCUCAACCAGAAGAUGAACUUUAAACACUACUCUCAAUGACUUGAUGUUCCCAUCACUACUCCUGUCAUAAAGGGAGGGGACUCAGAUAUUGAGAAUUUUAUGAUAGUGUGAACUGUCUGCUGUCAGCCAGGAGGGCAGAGCUGAAAUUUAUUGCCACAUCACAUGAAGCAUAGAACAGACUCCACUACUCCUUGAGAUUCAAAACUUUGCCUCUCACAAAGUUACCUUUUAUUUUCCUCUUGUUUGUCACUCAUCUCCCCUAGUGUGCUCUUUUUAUUUCUUUUACUAUUAAUAAUAAAAUCUGUGGAUGACUGUA